UUUUACCCGUUGAACUUAAGCAUAUCAAUAAGCGGAGGAAAAGAAACCAACAGGGGAUUGCCUCAGUAACGGCGAGUGAAGCGGCAACAGCUCAAAUUUGAAAUCUGGCUCCCCUUGGGGGUCCGAGUUGUAAUUUGGAGAGGAUGUUUCUGGCGCGGCGCCUUCCGGAGUUCCUUGGAACAGGACGCCACAGAGGGUGAGAGCCCCGUACGGUCGGCCGCCUAGCCUCCACGAAACUCCUUCGACGAGUCGAGUAGUUUGGGAAUGCUGCUCAAAAUGGGAGGUAAAUUUCUUCUAAAGCUAAAUACCGGCCAGAGACCGAUAGCGCACAAGUAGAGUGAUCGAAAGAUGAAAAGCACCUUGAAAAGAGGGUUAAACAGUACGUGAAAUUGUUGAAAGGGAAGCGCCUGCGACCAGACUCGCGCCCCGCGGACCAGCCGGCGUUCUCGCCGGUGCACUCCGCGGGGUGCGGGCCAGCAUCGGUUUUCCCUGGGGGAGAAAGGCUGCGGGAACGUAGCUCCUUCGGGAGUGUUAUAGCCCGUGGCGCCAUGCCCCAGGGGGGACCGAGGACCGCGCUUCGGCAAGGAUGCUGGCGUAAUGGUCGUCGGCGACCCGUCUUGAAACACGGACCAAGGAGUCAAGCAUUGGGGCGAGUGUCUGGGUGCCAAACCCGCACGCGAAAUGAAAGUGAACGCAGGUGAGAGCUUCGGCGCAUCACCGACCGAUCCUGAUGUCUUCGGAUGGAUUUGAGUAAGAGCCCCACCGCUUGGACCCGAAAGAUGGUGAACUAUGCCUGUAUAGGGUGAAGCCAGAGGAAACUCUGGUGGAGGCUCGCAGCGGUUCUGACGUGCAAAUCGAUCGUCAAAUAUGGGCAUGGGGGCGAAAGACUAAUCGAACCAUCUAGUAGCUGGUUACCGCCGAAGUUCCCCUCAGGAAAAA
rnacentral:rRNA from 1 species